AGUCACACUCCCACCUCUCUCCUAUCUGAACUUUUGAAAUUGAAAGAACAAACUCAAGAAAGAACGCUAGCCACCCAGUCCCGCCGCCCGCAGCCACCGCAGCCACCGCAGCCACCGCAGCCACCAAGCCCCCGCAGCCCCGUUGCGUGUAUAGGCAUCGCGUGUAGAAGCUCUGUCACCGUCGCAAGAGCUGUGUCGCCGUCGUAGGAAGCUCCGUCGCCAUCUUAGGAAGCUGUGUCGUCGUCGUAGGAAGCUCCCUCGCCGUCGGGCGGAAGCUCUGUGGCCGUUGCCGUCUCCUCUGUUCGAGCGCUCUCUCUCUCUCUCUCUUAUCGCCGGUGUCGCCGCUCCUCUGUCGUCGCCGUCACUCCCCUUCAUCCUUGCCGCCGUGAGGAUAGACGACUAAGAUGGCUUUUCAGCAAUUUUUGAGGAGGAAACGCCAAUCUCACUCUCAUUUGAACUCUGGUUAAACCCCGGUCAAAUCAUUGAACCAGUGAACCAGUAGUCUUAUAGGUUCAUUGACCGGUCCGGUUCUCUCAACCUUGGUCUGAACCCACAUAGCCUCAGCCCCUUUUGUUUAGUCCCUCACCUCACCACACCUCAACCCUAAUUUCCUCUUCCAAUCUUCCUCCUACUCCAAUGAAGAGCAGCCGCCACCAUCACCGCUAUCCACUCCUCACUGUGGGUCGUCGGUGUGUCUCCCCUCCUCACCCUGUUCCUCAUCGUUUCUGGCUGUCACCUCUUCUCUGCUUCCGUCAGUCUUCUUGACUUCAUCGCUGGCACUAGAAUUGAGGAAAUCACAGUUGCAGUUUGUAUCAAGCUGUCCAAAUAUUGUUUCACAAAGGCUUACAUGGAGAAAGGCCUUCGGCAAAAAGUUGAAACAAAGCAAAGGUAGCACAUGCAACCGAAAAUGGACAUAGACUAUCAGGUUCUAUCUGAAUACUUCACUCGGUUUUCUGAAAGUUAUUUUUCUAUAAAAUAAAUAGAAAACUAAGCUAUGAAAAUUUAGAACUAAUAUGCUGUGUUAGCAAAGACACCUUUAUAAGAGGCGUUUUCAGUAUUGGAGAGUUAAUUCGCAUAUCCGAUUAGUGCCUUCUACAUGGAAAUUACGAUCUCGUUCAGCGUCUUUAGCGGUAAAGGUGCCACCCGGUUCAGUGCAUCCUAGUCAACAAUGCUAAAAAAAAGAUACAGUUGCCACCAUGGCAAAAAGAGCUGCUGAGCAGUAUAUUUCAAAAGGAUGACAAUUUGAUAAAUAAUUUGCAAAAUUUAAAAAUAUUAUAGCUGAUGACAGACAUGAAAAAUAUUUUGAUUGACAAAUUUUUGUUUAGGUAUCAUAAAGGAGCCUAACCUAAGGAAAGGAAACAAAAACAAUCACAAACACAAGUACAACUACUAACUAGUUCAUUAUCACGUUAGAAGGAAGUGAAAUGUAAAACUCAUUAACAUCAUCAGUCAAGAAAGGGGCGAGUUCCCCAAGAGCAUCAGAAAGUGGAAUUCUGAGGUAACUCCAAGCUUGAUCUCCCAUAGUCUUUUUUGCAUUUGAUCUAUCCUUCUGAGAAUAGGGUUUUGAUUCAAUCUGCACCCCAAAUGGGAGUUCAACAAAACCAUACAAUCAAUACAUAACAUUUACAAUAUUUCUUUUGCGAUGCUGACCCUAGUAGUAAUAGAAAGAGGAACAACAUUUGGAUUGAAAUUUUGGCUUGAAAAACAACAUACAAAGUUAGCUCUAUGAUACACAUAAGCAUUUUUAAUGAGAUUCUUAUGCAGUGUUUAGUUCCAAUGAUCCAGCCAUAAGUCAAUAUCUUGUUUUAAAAUAAUUAUUAUUGUAUACGUGUGAAAAGUCCUUGAUCUCACUCAUCAAAGGCAAAAGAAGUGAGUAAAAGCACCACUGAAAAUAACUAUUUAUAAUUUUCAUUCAAUAAAUGAUCACAAAAUAAAAAAGAAUUCACAACUACUCAAAAAUAAUUCAAUAAAUUACCAAACAAUCAUAAGAACGAGAACAAAAAGUUUUGUUCAGAAGCAUGGGUGGAUAUAUAAUGUAUUCUUUUCAAUUAACUUUGAAACAAAUCAUCUCACCUUGUUUGCCAAGAAGACUUUCACUUUGAAUUUCACUGAAAAGCUUUCAUGCUUUCUCAUUCAUAUUUCUAUGAAAAAGAGCCAUAAUUAUUGGAUUAUAUCUGUCAAAAUUUGGAAGGUCACCAUUGCCUUCAUCUUAGAAAUUAAGGCUAUUGCUUCAUCAAAUAAACCCCUCUUUGGUAAGCCCAUAUAUCAUAAUAUUAUAAAUAUCAAUAUUACAACAAUUUCUGGCCAAAAGAUCUUAAAAAAAAUUCUCUUGCAUCCCUUCCUCUUCCACAUUUUUCACAAACCAUUCAAAGAAGUACUGCAUAUGGACGGAUAUGGAGUAAUCUGUUAUUAUAAACUCGUGAACAGGACGAUGGUUUAUGCAAAAAAACAUAGUAUGCAACAAGUGAUUAAAAAUCUCAUCAAGAAGAGCUUUGACUGAUGAAAUCCCUGAUUUGCAUACAUCACAAACAUCACAAAUUAAGGAAUUGUACGUUACAAUAUCAGGAGCUACACCUUUAGUUCAGAUCUCAUUAAAAGAUACUAAUGGCUUUAUCUAUCUUUUUGUUUGUUACUGCAAUAGUCAUUAAUCAUAAUGUGACAAUUCUAAAGAUCGGGUGCCAUUCUGUCAAACUAACUUUUCUGUCUCAUUAGCUUUCUUAAUUAGAAAGUAACCAUCAAUUAAUACACUAUAAAUCACAACAUUAGGAAUAUAGUAUUGUUUCAACAUCAUACUAAGUAUUUUUUGAACUUGUCCAUCUCUUCCUCUUCUACACAAAGCAUUGAAUUAAUAUACUUAAUCUAUAUUCAUUUGGUUUGAUGCUGUCUUUCAUCAUUUUUCUUAACAAUUUAUUCUAAUUGAUUAACAUCAUUCUUAAAUAAAGGAGGAAUAAAUGAACACAUUAGAAAAAAUUUCCCAUGCAGUCAUUCUUGAAAUCAAAUCUUUGGCCUUCUCAACAAGCCUAUCAACAACGGUGCUGUAUAUUAUUAAGUUGGGCUUAGUUGGUUUCUGUUCUAGUAUUUGCAGCACUUCAAUAGCUUUCCUAUCCGAUCUUUCUCACAAAUCCUCUUGAUUAAUGUCUCAUAAGUGACUUGGUUAAAGUUGAAAUCCCAUGGCAUCUACCUUAUGGAAGCAUUGGAGCUUCAUGUUAAGUUAGAUGCCAUGUGAUUUCAGCUUAACAAAAUCCCUUAUUGGACGUUAAUCAAGAAAAUUUGUGAGGAAGAUCGAAUAGAAGAAGUUUUUGAAGUGCUGCAAAUACUAGAGUAGAAACCAACUAAAGCCCAUUAAUAAUCUACAGUAUCGUUGUUGAUGCAUUAUGCAAAAUUGGGCUCGCAACCGAAGAUUUUGAUUUCAAGAAUGAUUGCACGUAGAAUUUCUCCCAAUAUGUUCAUUUAUUCUUCUUUGAUUUACGGAUACUGUGGUGUUAAUAAAUCAGAAGCAGUUGUUAAAUUGUUGAGAAAAAUGAUGAAAGGCAGCAUCAAGCCAAAUGAAUAUACAUUAAGUAUAUUAAUGGACGCAGAAGAGGAAGAGUUGGAGAAGCUCAAAAAGUAUUUAGUAUGAUGUUGAAAUAAGGCUAUAUGCCUAAUGUUGUGAUUUAUAGUGUAUUAAUUGAUGACUACUUUUUAAUUAAGGAAGUGAAUGAGGCAGAAAAGUUAUUUGACAGGAUGAUCAGAGAAGGUUUAGCGUCCGAUGUUCAGAGUUGCAACAUUAUGAUUAAUGGCUAUUGCAGGAACAAAAAGAUAGACUAAGCCAUUAGUCUCUUUAAAAAGAUGCUUACCAAAGGUGUAGCUCUUGAUAUUGUAAAUAAUUCCUUAAUUUGUGGUUUAUGCAAAUUAGGGAUGUUUUCAUCAGUCAAAACUAUUCUUGAUGAGAUGAAAGAAAGGGGACAAUAUAGAUGCUUUUUGCAUAAACCAGCUUCUGAUGAAGCAAUUGUAUUAUUUCGCAAAGUUUAUAAUAACAAAUAGAUUACUUCAUAUCUGUCCAUGUGCAGUACUCUUCUUGAUGAGAUGGAAGAAAGGGAUGCAAGAGAGUUUUUUGAGGGUCUUUUGGCCAAGAAUUGUAAUAUUGAUAUCUAUAAUAUUAUGAUACAUGAGCUUAUCAAAAAGGGGUUUAUUGAUGAAGUAAUGGCCUUAGUUUCUAAGAUGAAAGGCAAUAGUUACCUUCCAAAUUUUGAUAGUUAUAAUCCAAUAAUUAUGAUUCUUUUUCAUAGAAAUAUGAACAAGGAAGCAUGGAAGCUUCUGCGUGAAAUUCAGGAUUUAGGUCUUCUUAACAAGAAGGUGAGAUGAUUUGUUUCAAAGUUAAUUAAAAAGAAUACAUUAUAUAUCCACCCGACCAAAACUUUUUGUUUUCGUUCUUGUUUAGGAUUCCAAGAUUAUGACUCCCCAUGGGUGGGACAGAUUCUUGGAUGGGAAACCUGAAUAUGAUUGUUUGAGUUUCAAUCCAAAUGUUAUUCUUUUUCUAUUGAUACUGAUGGGCAGCAUCGCCAAAGGAAGUAUUGUGAAUGCUAUGUUUUGAUCGUAUGGUUUUGUUGAACUCCCAGUGCAGAUUGAAUCAAAACCUUAUUCUAUAGAUCAAAAUACGAAAGAGACCAUGGGAGAUCAAAUUUGUACAUACUUAGAUAGAAACAAAGCUUGGAGUAACCUCAGGGAUUCCACUUUUUGGAUGUUGCUCCUGGAGAACUCGCCCAUUUCUUGACUGAUGAUGUUAAUAAGUUUUACAUUUCACUUUCUCCUAAAGUGACAAUGAACUAGUUAGUGGCUGUACUUUGUUUGUUAUUGUUUUUGUUUCCUUUCCUUGGGUUAGACCCCUUUAUGAUACCUAAACAAAAAUUUGUCAAUCAAAACAUUUUUCAUGUCUGUCAUCAACUAUAAUAUUUUUAAGUUUUAUAAAUUAUUUAUCAAAUUGUUAUUCUGUUACUAUCUUUUUGUCAUGGUGGCAACUGUAUCCUUUCCUUGGCAUUGUUGACUAGGAUGCACUGAACUGGGUGGCGCCUUUACCACUAAAGACGUUGAACGGGAUCGUACUUUCCAUGUAGAAGGCACUAACCGGAUAUGCGAAUUAACUCUCCAAUACUGAAAACGCAUCUCACAAAGGUAUCUUUGCUAAUGCACCACAUUAGUACUAAAUUUUCAUAGCUUAGUUUUCUAUUUAUUUUAGAAGAAGUCUAGGGGGCUAGCAACUUUUGUGUUUUGUGGCCAGCACUUAACCAUCAAAAGAAAAGUGAGUGAUUUCCCACCAUUUGAUGUAAUCUCAAACCAUUAAAAACACUAUUGAUGGUUACAAAACACAAAAAUUGUUGGCCCCUAACACUCUUCUUUAUUUUAUAGAAAAAUAACUUUCAGAUAGAACCUGAUAGUCUAUGUCUAUUUUCGGUUGCAUGCGCUCGCUUUGCUUUUGUUUCAUUCGUUUCAACUUUUUGCCGAAAGCCUUUCUCGAUAUAAGCCUUUGUGAAACAAUACUUAGACAGCUUGAUACAAACUGCAACUACAAAAUGUAGAAAUUAAUUAAAAAACUUAGGUCCAUAGAAGGUAGUUCCAUGUUACGUAAUCUUGAGUUCAAAGAAAUAGAAAAAUCAAAAGAUAAGUGAAAAGGUAGGAUGCAAGGCUAUUCCAUCAUAGCAAUAUUAAAAAUCAAUAAGGAGAAUUUUUCCUCUAGAAAAUUCACUCGAACGAAAGUCAUAACAUAUGAAGGCAGAAGAUCAUACAACCCGUGAUUUUCUCAAUUCAAGUGCCAGCAAUGAAGUCAGGAAGCUGAAAGGGUUGUUUCUCAGUUACCUCUUCUGGUUUUGUAAGUUCCUUUGUCCUGCCAAACUUUUUUCCUGAAACAUCAAAUAUACAAAUUGAAAGGAAAGAAAAGUUAAUGUGAUGUAAUGCUUUUUAAAUUCAUACCCAGUGUACCAAGGAACCAUGUCCAAAAAUGUUAAUGGGUUUCAUCUGCUUCUUCUUCAUCUUCCCAUAUUCUUUAACAGAUAGUCAGGUGGGUGAGAGCCGCAUAUAUAAUUAAUACUUUUUAUAGCUAACGUUAAAAAAUAUAAACAAAUAAAUUAACUAAACAAAUAUAUUCUACCUCUUUUCAACAGAAAUUAUUGAUUACAUAUUCUCUACAUAACUAUUGAUCGAUUAGAUUUUUUAUUAAACCUUCUUAGUGAUUUCAAAUGGUACAAUCUUCUUGGCAGUUUUCCACCACAGAUUCCUGACCUCAGAAACAUGAAGUAUGUACACCUUAAAAUGUUUCAUUAGUUAUUCUAUGCUAAAAUAUAGUUACUUUAACUUCUUGUCUUCUUAAUUUAAAUGAAAAAAAAAUUCUAUUGAUACUGCUGGGCGAUGCCGAUGGCUUCAUAAUUAUAUUUUUACAACCUUGAGGUCGUUCUGAGUAUUUGUGAGUUCGUUCUGAUUUUGUGAUUAUUUAUUGAAUGAAAAUUACAAAAUAGAGUUAUUUUUUUGUGGUACUUUUUGACUCACUUUUUUUACCUUCCAUGAGUGAGAUCAAGGGCUUCUUCACACGCAUAAAAUACUAAUUAAUUUAAAACAGGAUUUUGACUCAUGGCUUGAUCAUUGGAACUAAACACUGCAUAAGAAUCUCAUUAAAAGUGUUUAUGUAAUGAUUGCAUUGUUUUGUUGAACUCCCACUUGGGACUUUGUGGAUGCUGCUCCUGGAGAACUCUCUCCUUUCCUGACUGAUGAUGUUAAUGAAUUUCAUUUUAUACUUUCAUUUAAACUUCACUUUAUACUUUCAUUUAAACUCUAAUUUGACAAACGCCAAUUUAAACAGGAGGUUGAAGGGUGAACAAUGGAGUCAAAGUCUACAGAUUGUAAUUGUUUCCGGUUUUCACGAACCUCACUGGUUAUUAGUGUGGCCAUCGGUCCAAUUGACUAAGAGAUUAGUUUCGAUUAGUUUAUGAGGUCUCUAUUUUCCUUUUGAGAUUUUUGAGUCACCAUAUUAGUGUGGUCAUCGAUCCUAUUUGAUGGUCUAAGUUUUGAGAUAGUGUCAAGUGUUAUUGUAUAGCUUUAAGGGUAUGUGUAGUUGGAGGAAUUAUAAAUAAUUCUUAGGAAUUUUAAGAUGGGAAUAUCAUAUUCUCAUAUUUGUUUCAAAAUUUGAGGUUCAAAAUUUGAAAAGCUGGCAAUUAAAAUACCAUCAUUUCAAUUUUCACCUUCUCCUUGGAUAUCUUAGGGGAAUGGAAUCUUUGUAACAAAGACAUACUUGAACCACACACACCCUAAGAGCCAUUUUUGGACC